rfam:Populus trichocarpa scaffold_88_contig_6, whole genome shotgun sequence.
UCUAGAACUCCAGAUAUGGGCCAAACACUGAACAGUAUUCGGGCUGCAGGACAGAUUCAAACUUCUUUGUUGUUGCUACAAUUUGGACUUGAAAAUGGUCUUUUUAAAUCUUGAGCUCCUCUAAAAGUUGUAGGCCUAUGUCUUACAUUUCCAUC